GCGCAGCAGGCGCGAAACUUCACACUGUGCGAAGCACGAUGAGGGAAUCCCAAGUGCUUGCACGUAAGUGUAAGCUGUUCCUCUGUCUAAACGCAGAGAGAGUAAGGGCUGGGUAAGACGGGUGCCAGCCGCCGCGGUAAUACCUGCAGCUCAAGUGGUGACCGUUAUUAUUGGGCCUAAAACGUCCGUAGCCGGUUUAAUAAAUGCCUGGGUAAAUUGUGUAGCUUAACUAUACGAAUUCCGGGUAGACUGUUAAACUUGAGACCGGGAGAAGUUAGAGGUACUCCUGGGGUAGAGGUGAAAUUCUGUAAUCCUAGGGGGACCACCAGUGGCGAAGGCGUCUAACUAGAACGGGUCUGACGGUGAGGGACGAAGCCCUGGGGCGCAAACGGGAUUAGAUACCCGUGUAGU
rnacentral:rRNA from 1 species